AACGAACGCUGGCGGCAUGCCUAACACAUGCAAGUCGAACGAGACCUUCGGGUCUAGUGGCGCACGGGUGCGUAACGCGUGGGAAUCUGCCCUUGGGUUCGGAAUAACAGUUGGAAACGACUGCUAAUACCGGAUGAUGACGUAAGUCCAAAGAUUUAUCGCCCAGGGAUGAGCCCGCGUAGGAUUAGCUAGUUGGUGGGGUAAAGGCCUACCAAGGCGACGAUCCUUAGCUGGUCUGAGAGGAUGAUCAGCCACACUGGGACUGAGACACGGCCCAGACUCCUACGGGAGGCAGCAGUGGGGAAUAUUGGACAAUGGGCGAAAGCCUGAUCCAGCAAUGCCGCGUGAGUGAUGAAGGCAUUAGGGUUGUAAAGCUCUUUUACCCGGGAUGAUAAUGACAGUACCGGGAGAAUAAGCCCCGGCUAACUCCGUG
rnacentral:rRNA from 1 species